CAGGAACUGUGUAACAAGGACAACAAAACUUUAUAAGUCCUUCUGCGUGUGAGGAAGGCACUCUUCACCCUGGUCUUCAGCCAUGUUAGCUAAGACUACCAACUUUUAUUUUACUGUAACAUACAAGUAUUUUUAUGCACGCUACCUUGCUAUAUUUGCUUCCUGCCUCGAAAUGUAAGCAAACUCCCCCCCCCUUCGUAUUUUACUAAAAACGUGUAGUUUGCUCUCUGCACUGGGGGUAAAGAGGGGGGAGGUCAGCGGGCCACAAAUGAAAGGGGUAGAAGGUUGCAAUUGCCUAAUUCCUUACCUUUAAUAAGCUGCAAAACUUGUAAUCGCUUUACUCUGCUAAAAAGGCUUCACAGUCAGAUUACUUUUGUAUCUCUCCCACACAAUGUGGGGUAGGAGGUUUAGAGCUAAAUCUACAAAUUUAAUCCUCAAAUCCAUCUUCCACAGGAUCAACCUCGAGCAUGCAUGUACGUAUGCAAUUGGGUGUGCAUUAGUGCCACUGGGAGCUGCAAGCUUAAGAAGUAGUAAAGUAAAAAAAGGUAAAGGACCCCUGGACGGUUAAGUCCAGUCAAAGGCGACUAUGGGGUGUGGCGCUCAUCACCACUUUCAGGCCGAGGGAGCUGGCGUUUGUCUGCAGACAGCUUUUUGGGGCAUGUGGCCAGCAUGAUUAAACCGCUACGGUACACAGUGGCGGAAACCAGAGUGCGCGAAAACGCCGUUUACCUUCCUGCCCCAGCGGUACCUAUUUUAUCUACUUGCACUGGCGUUCUUUUGAACUGCUAGGUUGGCAGGAAGUAGUACAGGGGCAGUGAGGCACCAAAAAUGGUGCCAGAUGUCGGUGGGUGAGCCCCAAACUAAGAUAAAUGUGUCAUUUUACCUCAGAAUACUUCUGGGAACCACUGUCUUGAGAGAAGGAACACUAUUCCCAUACUCUUUUUGCGGUUUGUUUCACCCAUCAAAUCCCAUGUAAAACAAUGCAGAGUCUUUCCUGUUUUGUUGUAUAUUAUUUGCUACCUUAAUAAUGAACCAUUCAAGGUUUCUUGGUGGCACUGUCCAUAAUGGAUUGAACCAAUGGUAUAUUAUCCCCGAGUACUGUAUGCAACUCUUUGUUGGAUACUCAGGAGGCCUCCGCCUGCCACCACCUGCUGCCUUGGCUGGGUUGGAAAUUCUCUGUCAGAAAACUUACAAGCCUAGGGAUUUUAGCAGAGUUCCAGAAAUGUGCCCUCUUAGCAAUUGUUGUGGUGAAAAAAGAUAGUUUGGGGCCAUUUAUCUUUUAGUUGUCCUGUGGGUAAGCAGAGCCUUGACACUAGGCCACUAUUACACUUUCAGUCCUACUCGGGUGUAGGACGAGCGCCUGACAGGCCCAUCCUCCUCCUCCCUUUAAAAUAAGGUGGUUGUUGUGGUGGUGAACUGUGAGGAAAAGGGCUUGGGACAUAAAAUGUGUUAACAGAGGUAUAAGUGAAGGAGCGUUGGCAGGGCUGGCAAGCAGAGCAGGCGGGUGGGGGACAGUCUCUAGUCUAAUAAACAAAUAGAUAGGCCCUUGGUAUGCUUGUUUUGAAAUGCAGCUCUCAGAUCUUAGCUAUCUAGCUCUUUUUAGGUGAUGAGAACUAUUACGGCUAAUGGCUUUCUCUGCCUGUGUGGUUUUUGUUUUGUUUUGUUUUGUUUUGUUUUGUUUUGUUUUGUUUAAAAAAAACAACACUUAAGGCUUUGACUUGCAUUGCCAAAAGAAGUAUCUGGAAUAUGGGCUGGUGGAUGGCAUGGUAAAACGUGAUUGUGAAGUGAUAAGUUGCCACCAUAUCACAGGUGGGAACGGAGAAAUCUCUAAAUGACAUUUGAUCAGUGCACUUAUCACCACCUUAAAUGGUUCAUGUGACCCUCUUAGAGGAAGGUUGAAGUACUCUCUAGCUAGUAUCCAGGCUACAUCCAGAUAUGCUGUUUCCAGGUGAGCUGCUUUAAUAUUGCUGCCCUAUAUUUUCCAGAACAAUGCAAUUUUGACUCUGCGGGAUAGCAAUUCCUGUGCACACUGGCAAACUUUUGUGUGAGCAUCAGUGAUCUCCUUUGACAGCAUCUUCUUUCGUUCCAAAACAGAUUCUCAGCUGGAGGAGAUGGAGGCAAAAAAAAGUCACCUUUUUCAGUCUUACAUUGAGAGUGUUAUUACUUAUUUAUUUUAAAGUCCUUGCAUAGAAUUAAAUGCCCUAUCUUGAACAGAAUCAUUUCCUAUCCUGCCUAGAGAGGAUGUACAAUUUAGAAUCUGGGUCACUUGCUCUAGGCAAGGUGUUCAGUAAUACACAAAAUGCUGAGGACCCCAGUCGAUUGUGGCAUGUACAAGUUCGUGCUUGG
rnacentral:lncRNA from 1 species